rnacentral:lncRNA from 10 species
GAUUCUAGAAAAGAGGUAGCUCAGUAUCGGGAUGAAAUUUCAGUUUCUCUGAGACCGACGCUUUUCACAUUGUCGAGGUCUUCAGAAAGCCAAAGUGGAACCGCCGCUGAAAUGAUUGACAAUCGCCCACAUGACCCAGGCAGAGACGCAGACAGGGGUUCACUAAAGACACGCUGACAUGCAAGAGAUCGCUUUGUAGUGCACUGGGCACAGAAACACACACGCACACGGGCACGCACACACAGAGAGACAGAGAAAGUGAGAGAAACAGACAGAGAGUGAGUGACAGAGAGAGAAGAGAGAAUGGGAGACACACGCACCAGACAUACAGCAGAGGCAGAGGGACACCCCCCCCCCCCAGGCAAUCACUGAGGCUGCGGGUUUCUGCUCUUUGGGAGAAUGACCCUCGGGUCAGAGAGUAGUCCUUGGGCACACAAGCAGACCUGUCCUCGAGAUCACGAGGGGCACGACUUUGGUGGACUCACGCAAACACCGUAAUGGCAGCUCUGAGGCUGGGAUGCCACACUGCUUUCCCCGGACUCCGUCUGCUGUUUCUGCAUCCUGGUAGCCC